UUCCCUCCAUCUCUACGGGGUUACUCCCCUCCACCUCUACGGGGUUACUCCCCUCCACCUCUACGGGGUUACUCCCCUCCACCUCUACGGGGUUACUCCCCUCCACCUCUACGGGGUUACUCCCCUCCACCUCUACGGGGUUACUCCCCUCCACCUCUACGGGGUUACUCCCCUCCACCUCUACGGGGUUACUCCCCUCCACCUCUACGGGGUUACUCCCCUCCACCUCUACGGGGUUACUCCCCUCCACCUCUACGGGGUACUCCCAUCCACCUCUACGGGGUACUCCCCUCCACCUCUACGGGGUACUCCCCUCCACCUCUACGGGGUACUCCCCUCCACCUCUACGGGGUACUCCCCUCCACCUACUCCCCUCCACCUCUACGGGGUUACUCCCCUCCACCUCUACGGGGUUACUCCCCUCCACCUCUACGAGGUACUCCCCUCCACCUCUACGGGGUACUCCCCUCCACCUCUACGGGGUACUCCCCUCCACCUCUACGGGGUACUCCCCUCCACCUCUACGGGGUACUCCCCUCCACCUACUUCCCUCCACCUCUACGGGGUUUCUCCCCUCCACCUCUACGAGGUACUCCCCUCCACCUCUACGGGGUACUCCCCUCCACCUCUACGGGGUACUCCCCUCCACCGCUACGGGGUACUCCCCUCCACCGCUACGGGGUACUCCCCUCCACCGCUACGGGGUACUCCCCUCCACCGCUACGGGGUACUCCCCUCCACCGCUACGGGGUACUCCCCUCCACCUCUACGGGGUACUCCCCUCCACCUCUACGGGGUACUCCCCUCCACCUCUACGGGGUACUCCCCUCCACCUCUACGGGGGUACCCCCCUCCACCUCUACGGGGGUACUCCCAUCCACCUCUACGGGGUACUCCCCUCCACCUCUACGGGGUACUCCCCUCCACCUCUACGGGGUACUCCCCUCCACCUCUACGGGGUUACUCCCCUCCACCUCUACGGGGUUACUCCCCUCCACCUCUACGGGGUUACUCCCCUCCACCUCUACGUGGGUACUCCCCUCCACCUCUACGGGGUACUCCCCUCCACCUCUACGGGGUACUCCCCUCCACCUCUACGGGGUACUCCCCUCCACCUCUACGGGGUACUCCCCUCCACCUCUACGGGGUACUCCCCUCCACCUCUACGGGGUACUCCCCUCCACCUCUACGGGGUACUCCCCUCCACCUCUACGGGGUUACUCCCCUCCACCUCUACGGGGUUACUCCCCUCCACCUCUACGGGGUUACUCCUCUCCACCUCUACGGGGUACUCCCCUCCACCUCUACGGGGUACUCCCCUCCACCUCUACGGGGUACUCCCCUCCACCUCUACGAGGUACUCCCCUCCACCUCUACGAGGUACUCCCCUCCACCUCUACGGGGUACUCCCCUCCACCUCUACGGGGUACUCCCCUCCACCUCUACGGGGGUACUCCCCUCCACCUCUACAGGGUACUCCUCUCUGCUAUGACUUUAGCUGGAGUGUCUCACAAACAACCAGGUGAAAACAGAGAGGAAGAGUGUGUGAUAGGUGGAGGAUACUACUGA
ensembl:lncRNA